CACACGCACACCGGAGGCAGAUGCAGACGCCGUAUCUUCCCUCAUUGUUGCCGAGAGACCCUUCAAACGACUGCCGCUGCGGAGUUCCAUUGCGAGGCG
rnacentral:lncRNA from 1 species